ACCCUACGGGGGGCAGCAGUGGGGGAUAUUGCACAAUGGGGGAAACCCUGAUGCAGCGACGCCGCGUGGGUGAAGAAGCGCCUCGGCGCGUAAAGCCCUGUCAGCAGGGAAGAAAAUGACGGUACCUGACUAAGAAGCCCCGGCUAACUACGUGCCAGCAGCCGCGGUAAUACGUAGGGGGCAAGCGUUAUCCGGAUUUACUGGGUGUAAAGGGAGCGUAGACGGCAGCGCAAGCCUGGAGUGAAAGGAUGGGGCCCAACCCCAUGACUGCUCUGGGAACUGUGCGGCUAGAGUGCCGGAGGGGG
rnacentral:rRNA from 1 species